rnacentral:snRNA from 1 species
AAAAAUACCUAGCAAAGGAGAUACCAAUAUCAUGAAGUUAGUUUUCCUAGGGUGAGACUCUUCUAUUACACCCUAGAUGUGCUAAACUCUGUGAUUUCUCCAAUUGCAUGAAAUUUGUGGUGGUUGUUAGGGUUCCAAACAGC